rnacentral:rRNA from 1 species
CUGAUGCAGCAACGCCGCGUGAGGGAUGACGGCCUUCGGGUUGUAAACCUCUUUUAGCAGGGAAGAAGCGAAAGUGACGGUACCUGCAGAAAAAGCCCCGGCUUACUUCGUUCCAGCAACCGCGGUUAUACGUAGGGCGCAAGCGUUAUCCGGAAUUUUUGGGCGUAAAGAGCUUGUAGGCGGUUUGUCGCGUUUGCUGUGAAAUCCCGAGGCUCAACCUCGGGCCUGCAGUGGGUACGGGCAGACUAGAGUGCGGUAGGGGAGAUUGGAAUUCCUGGUGUAGCGGUGGAAUGCGCAGAUAUCAGGAGGAACCCCGAUGGCGAAGGCAGAUUUUUGGGCCGUAACUGACGGUGAGGAGCGAAAGGGUGGGGAGCAAACAGGCUUAGAUUCCCUGGUAGUCCCCCCCGUAAACGUUGGGAACUAGUUGUGGGGUCCAUUCCACGGAUUCCGUGACGCAGCUAACGCAU